GCCUUCUUUCUCCAAUCUCCCUUAGGUGUUUUUCUUCCCACAGAUCUCUCCUCACCACCAUCUCCUGUUAGUUUUUGCUAUCGCCUUCCUCCCCAUCAUCACCGACAUCCUUCCCAUAGAUCCAUUAGCCUUCCCAUCGUCCACCCCUCUACCACCAGCCCUGAUCCCUCCUCCACUUUGUUUCAGUUCCAUCGGAUGGAUCCAUCGAUACUUGGAUCCCGAUCGGCCAACCUACUAGCACUGAUCGGUCUCCGAGGUCCGACGUCCAUAGCCAAAGAAAGAUCGAAGCACGAAUCCAAAUGAACUCAUCGGCCAAGGUGCCCUUCGGUUGGUGGCCAGAACGUCGUCGAUACGAGGC
rnacentral:lncRNA from 1 species